rnacentral:lncRNA from 1 species
GUAAUAAAAUUCUCCGCAUUCAUCACCCUUCAAUUUUUUCAUGCAACCUUGGUUGCAAGGACUCAGGUGGAGAGACGAAGGAUCAAGCAAUGUGACUGGUAGAAACUGUGUUAUACAAGGUAAACCAAGAGAGAAUUGUGCAAAAAUGUCUUCAGGGUCACUUCUUUCCCUAACUUGGUCCCUCAGAGUUCUUUCCACUAGAUAUCCAGUGUGUUCAACCUAA